AUUGAACGCUGGCGGCAGGCCUAACACAUGCAAGUCGAACGGUAACAGGAAACAGCUUGCUGCUUUGCUGACGAGUGGCGGACGGGUGAGUAAUGUCUGGGAAACUGCCUGAUGGAGGGGGAUAACUACUGGAAACGGUAGCUAAUACCGCAUAACGUCGCAAGACCAAAGAGGGGGACCUUCGGGCCUCUUGCCAUCGGAUGUGCCCAGAUGGGAUUAGCUAGUAGGUGGGGUAACGGCUCACCUAGGCGACGAUCCCUAGCUGGUCUGAGAGGAUGACCAGCCACACUGGAACUGAGACACGGUCCAGACUCCUACGGGAGGCAGCAGUGGGGAAUAUUGCACAAUGGGCGCAAGCCUGAUGCAGCCAUGCCGCGUGUAUGAAGAAGGCCUUCGGGUUGUAAAGUACUUUCAGCGGGGAGGAAGGGAGUAAAGUUAAUACCUUUGCUCAUUGACGUUACCCGCAGAAGAAGCACCGGCUAACUCCGUG
rnacentral:rRNA from 1 species